rnacentral:lncRNA from 1 species
UCAAAUUAUUUUUUAUGAUAGAGAUCCCGAAUCGAUUAUCAGAACCGUUAAAAUUGAUCUAAAUUUCAUAAUCUUUAGAAUAUUUGAAAAUUUAAUUUUAAAAACUAAAUUUCAUAAUCUUUAGAAAUUAUUUAUAUAGCCCUUGUUUGGUUGGGGGUUAAGGGGUGGAAUAACCCCUAUUCCACCCCUUAACCCCCAUUUUAUUUCCAAACACCCAAAAAAAUAGGUGGGGUAAGCUAACCCCACAUAACCCCACCUCAAAUAAAUUAUUCCGGGUUAGCUAACCCCAUCUAACCCCACCAAUUAAACUCCAACCAAACACUAUUUUCUAUUCAUAAUAACCCACUAUCUUUCUUAUCACACCUAUUCCAACCAAUCAUUAUCUUCUUAUCCCACCUACCCAACCAAACACUAUUUUUCAUUAUUCUAGACUAACUCCAAUCCCCAACCAAACACAAAAAAAUAUUAAUCCCAAUUUAACCCUGAACUUAACUCUAUCUCUAGAAUAACUAUUUUUUCCUUAACCCCGAACCAAACGGAGGCAUAGUGAUCAAAGGAUCAUAAAAUUGAUAGUUUUUUACGACCUAAAUAAGCCAUUUAUCUAUUUAACGAUAUAGAGUAAUCCAAACCACUUGCAUUUUUUAUAAAACUUUUUUUUAUACUAUUUAGAUAACAUUUGAUAAUUCCAAUCGUGAAUUGAGAAAGUUUAACCUUUAUUUUCAUAUGGUUAUUCAUCUUUUACUGUUCAUUUUUUGACUCUCCGAUGGACUUUAUAAUCAUUUUUAAAAAUUAUAAAGUUCAGUUUAUAAAUAUUUUUAAUAGUGUAGAUCAAUUUUAACUAUGCGGAUUAUCAAUUUGAGGUCCCGAUUUAUCCAAAAUGGCUUGAUAGGAUAAAGACUUUUAUUCUCUUAAGAAGACAGUAAUUGGAAUCCAAAUUAUUAUAUAAAAAUAAAGUUUAGUUUUCUUCGUAUUUUUUAUUCCGAAUUAUACAAUCGAUACUAAUCAAAACUGGUUCCAACAAAUAGUAUCAGAGCAAAUAUCUCUCUGCAGGAUAGCUUAUUCUGUUUGAAAAUUUAUAAUAUAAUUGUAAGUAACGAGUUUGAUUUUUGUUUCUUCAAAUGUAUUUUUAUCUAUGAUAUGGUAGGAUAGUAUAUUUUACUUAUGAGACGAUUUAUGUUUUUUUAAAAAAUUAACUUGAAAUUUGUAUAUAUUCUUAUUUUGUUUAAGAAAUUUGUAUAAUUGAUUGAAAAAGAGUGUGAUCAAAUGUUUAGAAUGAAAUAUGAUAUAUAUUCGGACUUUCUACCAACUCAUGGAUAGCAGUAUAUUCGAAGAAAUAAAAAUCAAACUCCUUACUUAUAAUCAUACUAAAAAAUUCUUAUACCAAAAUAACUUGUUUCGACAUCCAAAUGCGGUAAAAAAAAAUUUUAAAUG